UACGUAGGGACCGAGCGUUGUCCGGAUUCAUUGGGCGUAAAGAGCUCGUAGGCGGCUGUUCAAGUCGAACGUGAAAACUCGGAGCUCAACUCCGAGCCUGCGUUCGAUACUGGACGGCUAGAGUCUGGUAGGGGGAUCUGGAAUUCCUGGUGUAGCGGUGGAAUGCGCAGAUAUCAGGAGGAACACCAGUGGCGAAGGCGGCUCACUGGUCCGGUACUGACGCUGAGGUGCGAAAGCGUGGGGAGCAAACAGG
rnacentral:rRNA from 1 species